AAAGUCCUGAGAUGUUCGCCUAGUUUACUGUUUCAACCUACAUUACAUUUCCGGGAUUUGCAAUAAUAUUAUGGCUGUUGGACUUCAUAUUUCACUUUGUGGCAGAAGAUAACAAAAGUAAUAUGAGCAGAACCCACCUGCGAGGCGCAGGUAUGGAUAAGUAGACAAACGGCAUGUUGGGAAAUGA
rnacentral:other from 1 species